rnacentral:rRNA from 1 species
CGGUAAUACGUAGGGUGCAAGCGUUAAUCGGAAUUACUGGGCGUAAAGCGUGCGCAGGCGGUGAUGUAAGACAGGUGUGAAAUCUCCGGGCUUAACCUGGGAACUGCAUUUGUGGUUGCAUCGCUGGAGUGCGGCAGAGAGGGAUGGAAUUCCGCGUGUAGCAGUGAAAUGCGUAGAUAUGCGGAGGAACACCGAUGGCGAAGGCAAUCUCCUGGACCUGCACUGACGCUCAUGCACGGGAGCGUGGGGAGCAAACAGGAUUAGAUACCCCGGUAGUCCACGCCCUAAACGAUGUCAACUGGUUGUUGGGUCUUCACUGACUCAGUAACGAAGCUAACGCGUGAAGUUGACCGCCUGGGGAGUACGGCCGCAAGGUUGAA